rnacentral:misc_RNA from 1 species
UCGUUCUUGACCAGCAGUAUCCCAGAUCUGAGCUUUAACAGACUUGUGCUGUAUCACAAGGGUUCGCGUCUGGAAUUCAACCCCAAUUGUUGCUUUAGAAUCGAGGCUGAAUUCGUUACGAGAAAAUCGAGCUAGUAUCUGUGACUUCCCUACAGCUGAAUCACCGAUUAACACCACUUUGAACACAUAAUCUAUCUUCUGGCUCGAAUCCCCAUAACCACUCGCCAUUGAUUUCUCUGCAAAAUCAGCAGCUGAAAAUGGAAGAGAGAGGGGGUGGAAACAGAGUAGACGUAGAUCUUCG